rnacentral:rRNA from 1 species
UACGUAGGGUCCGAGCGUUGUCCGGAGUUACUGGGCGUAAAGCGCGCGCAGGCGGCCCGCGAGGUGUCACGUGAAAGCCCCGGGCUCAACUCGGGAGGGUCGUGGCAAACCGGCGGGCUUGAGGCCGGUAGAGGUGGGUGGAACUCCUGGUGGAGUGGUGAAAUGCGUAGAGAUCAGGAAGAACACCCGUGGCGAAGGCGGCCCACUGGGCCGGUACUGACGCUGAGGCGCGAAAGCGUGGGGAGCAAACAGG